rnacentral:lncRNA from 1 species
UAUGAAUUGAAGUCCGGUCAGACCAAGAUGGAUCGGUAGGUUAGGUUAAGAUGUUCAGUGUUCAGUGGUAAACCUUGAGAUUUCCGACGAAGGGUGAAAAACGUAUAUACACUCUCACGUAAAGGCGAGCCACCGCGCCAUUGCCUCCAGCAUUGAGUAGGGGCGAAGGAUUUAAGGGGCGGGGAGGGGCGCCCGCCCUCCCGAACUUUUCGGUCAGUAGUGUUAUAUAUAUACGUUUCGUAUGGGAUUUUGUAGGUAUAUACGUUUUCGACCCCCCGGUUUUAUAAAAAAGAAUUUAGGUAUAUACGUUUUCAACUCCCGGUUUUAAUUUUUUUAUUUAUAAAGCCUAAAUAAAAUAUUUAAUUAGUCCAAAUAUUAUAGCCCAAAUCAUUAUAUUUGGUAGAAUACUAGAAUGUAUAUUAUAUAACCCAAAUCAAAUCAUUAUAUAGCUCAACUUAAAAGCCCACCCUAUCAAAAAAAACCCAAAUUCGUUUACUUUGGGACAUCGACCAGAAGAACAGAAGUCACAAGCCAGAACUGCAGGGGGGGGGGGAACGAAGGUUCUAGAACUGUUCGACUUCAGCUUCUUGUUCGAGAACAGAAGCCAAAACAUUGCUCGUUGUUGUGGUCUUGUACUCUUGUUCGACUUCUUCAAUCUUCAUAAGGUUAAAGGGAUUGGAUGGGAGAGGAUGAUGUGGCGCUGAGCUAGCAGUCUGGGAUCAUGGAUGAAAGAUGAGUAUAACUAGUGGCCUAAACACCAUUUGUAGCGAUUGCGAGAGACCAAGAUAAAAGAGAUGGUUUCCAAUCAGUUAACCAUGAUCAAAAAAGGAUCGCACAAGAAGGUGUGGUUGAAGUUUUCCAAAUACGUGGACUUGAAUCAAGAUUGGUAUAAUUAAAUUGUAUUUUUUACAUUUGUUUAUUUAGUUUAUGUAACCGGUAUUGUACUAGUAGGAUUUUCCACAAAUAACGAAGUCUCGUUCUUAUUUAUUUUAUUAAUAUUU